rnacentral:rRNA from 1 species
GGGGAAUAUUGCACAGUGGGCGCAAGCCUGAUGCAGCGACGCCGCGUGAGGGAUGACGGCCUUCGGGUUGUAAACCUCUUUCAGUAGGGAAGAAGCGAAAGUGACGGUACCUGCAGAAGAAGUGCCGGCUAACUACGUGCCAGCAGCCGCGGUAAUACGUAGGGCGCAAGCGUUAUCCGGAUUUAUUGGGCGUAAAGAGCUCGUAGGCGGUUUGUCGCGUCUGCCGUGAAAGUCCGGGGCUUAACCCCGGAUCUGCGGUGGGUACGGGCAGACUAGAGUGAUGUAGGGGAGACUGGAAUUCCUGGUGUAGCGGUGAAAUGCGCAGAUAUCAGGAGGAACACCGAUGGCGAAGGCAGGUCUCUGGGCAUUAACUGACGCUGAGGAGCGAAAGCAUGGGGAGCGAAC